UGGGGAAUAUUGCACAAUGGGCGCAAGCCUGAUGCAGCCAUGCCGCGUGUAUGAAGAAGGCCUUCGGGUUGUAAAGUACUUUCAGCGGGGAGGAAGGGAGUAAAGUUAAUACCUUUGCUCAUUGACGUUACCCGCAGAAGAAGCACCGGCUAACUCCGUGCCAGCAGCCGCGGUAAUACGGAGGGUGCAAGCGUUAAUCGGCAUUACUGGGCGUAAAGCGCACGCAGGCGGUUUGUUAAGUCAGAUGUGAAAUCCCCGGGCUCAACCUGCGAACUGCAUCUGAUACUGGCAAGCUUGAGUCUCGUAGAGGUGGGUAGAAUUCCAGGUGUAGCGGUGAAAUGCGUAGAGAUCUGGAGGAAUACCGGUGGCGAAGGCGGCCCCCUGGACGAAGACUGACGCUCAGGUGCGAAAGCGUGGGGAGCAAACAGG
rnacentral:rRNA from 1 species